UACGGAGGGGGCUAGCGUUGUUCGGAAUUAUUGGGCGUAAAGGGCGCGUAGGCGGCCGGAUAAGUCUGAUGUGAAAUCCCUCGGCCCAACCGGGGAACUGCAUUUGAAACUGUUCGGCUCGAGUCCGGGAGAGGGUAGUGGAAUUCCCAGUGUAGCGGUGAAAUGCGUAGAUAUUGGGAGGAACACCGGUGGCGAAGGCGGCUACCUGGACCGGUACUGACGCUGAGGCGCGAAAGCUGGGGUAGCAAACAGG
rnacentral:rRNA from 1 species